CAGUAGCCGCGGGAAUACGUAGGGGGCGAGCGUUGUCCGAAGUUACUGGGCGUAAAGCGCGCGUAGGCGGCUUCUUAAGUCUGAGGUGAAAGGUUCAACGCUUAACGUGAACAGUGCCUUGGAUACUGGGGAGCUUGAGUAUGGGAGAGGGCAGUGGAAUGGCUGGUGUAGCGGUGAAAUGCGUAGAUAUCAGUCGGAACACCCAUGGCGAAGGCAGCUGCCUGGCCUAAUACUGACGCUGAGGUGCGAAAGCGUGGGGAGCGAACGGGAUUAGAUACCCCGGUAGUCCCUGUCUCUUAUA
rnacentral:rRNA from 1 species